CCUACGGGGGGCUGCAGUAAGGAAUAUUGGUCAAUGGAGGAAACUCUGAACCAGCCAUCCCGCGUGAAGGAUGAAGGGGCUCUGCCUUGUAAACUUCUUUUGUCUGGGGCGAAAAAGCUCGAUUUAUCGAGAACUGACGGUACCAGAAGAAUAAGCACCGGCUAACUCCGUGCCAGCAGCCGCGGUAAUACGGAGGGUGCAAGAGUCAUUGGGAAUCACGGGGGUGAAGGCGUGUGUAGACGGCAGAGUAGAAAGGCUGUGGCUUAACCAUGGAAUUGCCAUUGAGACUGCAGAGCGUGAAUGAGGUUGAGGUUGGCGGAAUGUGACAUGUAGCGGUGAAAUGCUUAGAUAUGUCAUGGAACACCGAUUGCGAAGGCAGCUGACUGGACCUAUAUUGACGCUGAGGCACGAAAGCGUGGGGAGCGAACAGGAUUAGAUACCCUUGUAGUC
rnacentral:rRNA from 1 species